GGAAGUUGUGGACAGCAACACAGACCUGCAGCUGCUGUGUUGUCGGAGAACCGCAGCACAAAAGCCAGUCACCAAAGAGGAAGGAGACGCGACCAAGGGGACCCUGGACAGCUGAAGGUACAGUGUGCACGUCAAGGCUCAGGCCUCUGGCUUCCACCCCUGCAGGGUCUAGGAUUAGAAGCCUGUGAGCUUUAAUGCGUAUUUUCUUUAUUUAAAAAGAAGAAAGAAAAAAAAAAAACCACCUCCCUACUCUUUUACAUAAUUGGUACAUGUAAAACAGAAAUUAUGGUUUCUUGUAACGACAACUGUACUUUUAAAAACUGACAUGAAACAACGUUGGGGAGAAUACAAAGUUACAGAGGCUGCAAAAUCCUGCCUGAGAUUUAACUGGAAACUCUCGUAAAGACAUCUGUCAUCGUGAUUUCCACACAACUUAUUCCCGCCUGGGUCACCCACUGUCCUCUCAGAGGCAGCUGAAGAGAGUCUUCGCACCUUAAGUAAUCUGGGGGAAUUUCCUGGAAUCUUCUCUCUGGCAUCCAAAACCAGGUCUCCUGAGAGGACAGGAGAUCAUAGCACGAAACCUGCCAAAGAUGUAUAACGAUCUGAGCUGCAUAACCAAGCAGUGCCACAGAAAGGAAAAAACACCCUCCACGUCCUCUGCUGACAGAGCGCCAUGCUCAGCAGGUAAAUCUGUCAACGUUCUGUUGAUUUUGCAUUUUUUUACCCAGAACAGCAGCGUCACGGUACUUGAUCUAAGGAAGGCAAUCAGCAGAUUUUCCAUUCACAAUGUUAGGGAGUUCUCUAGAA